CAACAACAACAACCGAGUUUGGCACUUCCUUCCCAGUAUAAAUAAUGUACCUAAAAUGGCUGACAUCAUUACAAGCCUAAACCUCUGUUGUUUCCCACUUUCGUUUCUAGGCUUGAACAGCACUUGGACUAAGUCCAGCAACUUUUUACCUAGGGCCGUGCUAGGCAUCUUAAGCAGAGAAGGCAAAUUCAGUGUCUCCUGGGCUGAAGCAGAU
rnacentral:lncRNA from 1 species